AACGAACGCUGGCGGCAGGCCUAACACAUGCAAGUCGAGCGAAGCCUUCGGGCUUAGCGGCGGACGGGUGAGUAACGCGUGGGAACGUGCCCUUUGCUACGGAAUAGCCCCGGGAAACUGGGAGUAAUACCGUAUGUGCCCUUCGGGGGAAAGAUUUAUCGGCAAAGGAUCGGCCCGCGUUGGAUUAGGUAGUUGGUGGGGUAAUGGCCUACCAAGCCGACGAUCCAUAGCUGGUUUGAGAGGAUGAUCAGCCACACUGGGACUGAGACACGGCCCAGACUCCUACGGGAGGCAGCAGUGGGGAAUCUUAGACAAUGGGCGCAAGCCUGAUCUAGCCAUGCCGCGUGAUCGAUGAAGGCCUUAGGGUUGUAAAGAUCUUUCAGGUGGGAAGAUAAUGACUGUACCACCAGAAGAAGCCCCGGCUAACUCCGUGCCAGCCGCCGCCGUAACAC
rnacentral:rRNA from 1 species